rnacentral:tRNA from 1 species
CCGGGUGUAGGCCAGCGGCUAGGCCACCUGCUUUGGGAGCAGGGGAUCGGGGGUUCGAGUCCCUCCACCCGGA